rnacentral:misc_RNA from 1 species
GAUACGUCGGGUUUGUGCCGUUAGACGAUGCUAGAUCGGAGGCGGGUAAAAUCCGGCAGGCGUGGAUUGAAAUUCCGGUGUUCUGAUUCGGAUCCUUCCGGUUUUGGGCGGUGAUUGUGUUCUUUUGAAGCGCCAUUGCCUUUCGAGCGUAAAUGCUGCAGUUCUGAAACACCACCGCCGCAUUCCCGAAGAUAAAAUCCACCGUCCCGUAGAUGUCGCAUUCUCGGUAAAAUUGGCGGUUUGAAUGAACGUACAGAGUGUCUUGAUACCCGAUUAUGUUGCAGCGGUACACCACCGCAUGAUCGGCGCCAACUCGAAGCGCAACCGCCUGGUGGCGCCCCGGUCCAGCCCAAUUCUCAAAUGUCAUGUCCCUCAAGAUUAUACCGGCGCCGGUGGCCGCAAACGACGCCGUGUGAAAAGUUGUCACAUUAUCAAAGACACUUUUAGCACCCGAAAUGACAGUUUUACCCUUGCCAUCCCCCACAAACAUGAGGUUCGUUUUCUUUCUCCCCACCUUCAGAUUUUUCUCUUCGUACCUUCCUGCCAUCACGUAUAUGAUCGUCCUUCUAUUACUGUACUGCGGCGCCUUUUUGAUCGCUUCGGCGAUCGUUUUCACCGUUCCGCUACCGUUCUGAGAAACCACAAUAUCGGCUUGUAACGCUCCCACCGGUAACGUCAGUAACCUCCUUUCUCUCCGACUCAUCCACCCAGGGAAUUUACCGGAAUUAUCCUCGUCGUGUCCGGCGUUCAUCAACCGUCGCUUGUUCUGAAUCGG